rnacentral:rRNA from 1 species
UCCACGCCCUAAACGAUGAUUACUCGCUGUUGGCAAUAUAUCGUCAGCGGCUAAGCGAAAGCAUUAAGUAAUCCACCUGGGGAGUACGAUCGCAAGGUUGAAACUCAAAGGAAUUGACGGGGGCCCGCACAAGCGGAGGAACAUGUGGUUUAAUUCGAUGAUACGCGAGGAACCUUACCUGGGCUUAAAUGUAGGACGAUCGUUGCCGAAAGGUGGCUUUCCUUCGGGACGGACUACAAGGUGCUGCAUGGUUGUCGUCAGCUCG